rnacentral:rRNA from 1 species
UACGUAGGGCGCGAGCGUUGUCCGGAAUUAUUGGGCGUAAAGAGCUCGUAGGCGGCUUGUCACGUCGGGUGUGAAAGACCGGGGCUUAACUCCGGUUCUGCAUUCGAUACGGGCUAGCUAGAGUGUGGUAGGGGAGAUCGGAAUUCCCGGUGUAGUGGUGAAAUGCGUAGAUAUCUGGAGGAACACCGGUGGCGAAGGCGGCAUCCUGGACCGGUAUUGACGCUGAGGCGCGAAAGCCAGGGGAGCAAACGGG